rnacentral:tRNA from 1 species
GGCCUAAAAGCUUUGCACAAAGCAUUGGUCUUGUAAACCAAAGAAGGGCGCGCCCUUAGGCUA